CCUACGGGUGGCAGCAGUGGGGAAUAUUGCACAAUGGGGGAAACCCUGAUGCAGCGACGCCGCGUGAGUGAAGAAGUAUUUCGGUACGUAAAGCUCUAUCAGCAGGGAAGAAAAUGCCGUUUCCUGACUAAGAAGCCCCGGCUAACUCCGUGCCAGCAGCCGCGGUCAUACGUAGGGGGCAAGCGUUAUCCGGAUUUACUGGGUGUAAAGGGAGCGUAGACGGCAGCGCAAGUCUGGAGUGAAAUCCCAUGGCUUAACCAUGGAACUGCUUUGGAAACUGGGCAGCUAGAGUGCAGGAGAGGUAAGCGGAAUUCCUAGUGUAGCGGUGAAAUGCGUAGAUAUUAGGAGGAACACCAGUGGCGAAGGCGGCUUACUGGACUGUAACUGACGUUGAGGCUCGAAAGCGUGGGGAGCAAACAGGAUUAGAUACCCCAGUAGUC
rnacentral:rRNA from 1 species